CAGUCGAACGGACUCAUAUUGAAACCUAGUGAUUUAUGAGUUAGUGGCGGACGGGUGAGUAACGCGUGGAUAACCUGCCGUAUACCGGGGGAUAACACUUAGAAAUAGGUGCUAAUACUGCAUAAGCGCACGGCUCCGCAUGGGGCAGUGUGAAAAACUCCGGUGGUAUACGAUGGAUCCGCGUCUGAUUAGCUAGUUGGCGGGGUAACGGCCCACCAAGGCAGCGAUCAGUAGCCGGCCUGAGAGGGUGGACGGCCACAUUGGGACUGAGACACGGCCCAAACUCCUACGGGAGGCAGCAGUGGGGAAUAUUGCACAAUGGGGGAAACCCUGAUGCAGCGACGCCGCGUGAGUGAAGAAGUAUCUCGGUACGUAAAGCUCUAUCAGCAGGGAAGAAAAUGACGGUACCUGACUAAGAAGCCCCGGCUAACUACGUGCCAGCAGCCGCGGUAAUACGUAGGGGGCAAGCGUUAUCCGGAUUUACUGGGUGUAAAGGGAGCGUAGACGGCAGCACAAGUCUGGAGUGAAAUCCCGGGGCUUAACCCCGGAACUGCUUUGGAAACUGUGCGGCUGGAGUGCAGGAGGGGUAAGCGGAAUUCCUAGUGUAGCGGUGAAAUGCGUAGAUAUUAGGAGGAACACCGGUGGCGAAGGCGGCUUACUGGACUGUAACUGACGUUGAGGCUCGAAAGCGUGGGGAGCAAACAGGAUUAGAUACCCUGGUAGUCCACGCCGUAAACGAUGAUUACUAGGUGUCGGGGGAUCAAGGUCCUCCGGUGCCGGCGCAAACGCAUUAAGUAAUCCACCUGGGGAGUACGUUCGCAAGAAUGAAACUCAAAGGAAUUGACGGG
rnacentral:rRNA from 1 species